GACGAACGCUGGCGGCGUGCUUAACACAUGCAAGUCGAACGGAAAGGCCCUGCUUUUGUGGGGUGCUCGAGUGGCGAACGGGUGAGUAACACGUGAGUAACCUGCCCUUGACUUUGGGAUAACUUCAGGAAACUGGGGCUAAUACCGGAUAGGAGCUCCUGCUGCAUGGUGGGGGUUGGAAAGUUUCGGCGGUUGGGGAUGGACUCGCGGCUUAUCAGCUUGUUGGUGGGGUAGUGGCUUACCAAGGCUUUGACGGGUAGCCGGCCUGAGAGGGUGACCGGCCAAUUGGGAACUGGGAUACGGCCCAGACUCCUAGGGGGGGGAGCAGGGGGGAAUAUUGCACAAGGGGCGGAAGCCUGAUGCAGCAACGCCGCGUGGGGGAUGACGGCCUUCGGGUUGUAAACCGCUUUCGCCUGUGACGAAGGGUGGGUGACGGUAAUGGGUAAAGAAGCACCGGCUAACUACGU
rnacentral:rRNA from 1 species